rnacentral:rRNA from 1 species
UACGGAGGGUGCAAGCGUUAUCCGGAUUCACUGGGUUUAAAGGGUGCGUAGGAGGGCAGGGAAGUCAGUGGUGAAAUCUCCGGGCUUAACUCGGAAACUGCCGUUGAUACUCUCUGUCUUGAAUCCCGUGGAGGUGAGCGGAAUAUGUCAUGUAGCGGUGAAAUGCUUAGAUAUGACAUAGAACACCAAUUGCGAAGGCAGCUCACUACACGAAGAUUGACUCUGAGGCACGAAAUCGUGGGGAUCAAACAGG